CACGCCUCUCCUCGCCCCAUGAACGGACAGGACCUGCAGAUGCCGCCCUGGAGGCCCAGGGUGCUGCACAGGAGGAAGGGGGAGCAAGCUAAAGAUGCAGCAGGGACAGAGCAAGGGAAGUGGAGCCCUAGGGAGAGGUGCAGCAGCCCCAGCCCCCAGGAGCCUCCUGAGCCGACUGUGACCCCCCGGAGACCCCUGAGAGAUCUGAAGGAGAGGAAGGCCGGAGGGCUGUCCUGUCACUUGAUGACUGGCCAUCUUUUGAUGGGCUCAAAAACAGAACAAAGACAUUCCUAAGUCACUAAUGAUUAAGCUCCAUUUUAUAACCUUGUUAAACAACCCACGCCCAGAAACUUACAGUAGACUGUUGAUGAAUAGUGGCUCCAAAAAAUACCAGAAGACAAUAACGUUUUUCGUAAGCCGUUACUGCACUAUUAACUUCUAUUCAUUUCAGUGUUCAGCAAAAUACAACAGGUGGAGUUGAAGAGCAUACAAAUUCUUCCCUGACUUAUUAAAAAUAAAUCUAUUUUUUUCUAAUUUUAAUUAUGGCAAAGACAUAUAUUAAAUAAAGAUAUCUAUAUUUUUGUGACCAUUGGGGCAUU
rnacentral:lncRNA from 1 species